ACCGUAUCGGAUUACUGGGCGUAAGCGCACGCAGGCGGUCUGUCAAGUCGGAUGUGAAAUCCCCGGGCUCAACCUGGGAACUGCAUUCGAAACUGGCAGGCUAGAGUCUUGUAGAGGGGGGUAGAAUUCCAGGUGUAGCGGUGAAAUGCGUAGAGAUCUGGAGGAAUACCGGUGGCGAAGGCGGCCCCCUGGACAAAGACUGACGCUCAGGUGCGAAAGCGUGGGGAGCAAACAGGAUUAGAUACCCUGGUAGUCCACGCCGUAAACGAUGUCGGAUUGGAGGUUGUUCCCUUGAGGAGUGGCUUCCGGAGCUAACGCGUUAAUCCACACCCC
rnacentral:rRNA from 1 species